CAGAUGAGCGGUAGUAUGUAGUUGUGUGGAAGGAAACUAAAGGUUUAGGUUAGCGAUAAAGCCGUGGAUAUUGCCUUCUGACUUCCAAUGCCAUCACCCAUGCUUGAUCUGAUUCCUACACGUUCUUUGUUGUUCAGUGAGAGACAUACAGGUGGUAGAGAAAUGGAAAUUUCCACCUUAUCGCCACACAAGGUUUUGUAAUAAGCGGAUUAUGGAUUUUUGGAUUCGCAAGAUAGAGCCGGGAUUGCGGGUGACACCGUUAAAAAAAUAGAGGAAUUUUCUAAUGGUUGUCAUACAUUGGAGGAAGCGCCAGCGGCUGCCUCCUUGGCCUGCUCUUUCGACAACCUCGGUGUCUGUACACGUCAGUCAGAUGGCUCUCACCCACCCUCCUGCUUCAGGGUCUGCGCUGAGGCAGAGACCUGGCCAGGUUGCUGCAGUUCAGCCGAGGUGACACAGGAGCUCUGUUAGGUCUGCGGCGGGGCAGCCAGA